UACGUAGGGUGCGAGCGUUAAUCGGAAUUACUGGGCGUAAAGCGUGCGCAGGCGGUUUUGUAAGCCAGGUGUGAAAUCCCCGGGCUCAACCUGGGAAUGGCAUUUGGGACUGCAAGGCUGGAGUGCGGCAGAGGAGACUGGAAUUCCUGGUGUAGCAGUGAAAUGCGUAGAUAUCAGGGGGAAUACCGAUGGCGAAGGGCAGGUCUCUGGCUGACACUGAGCGCUCAUGCACGAAAGCGUGGGGAG
rnacentral:rRNA from 1 species